rnacentral:rRNA from 1 species
UACAGAGGGUGCGAGCGUUAAUCGGAAUUACUGGGCGUAAAGCGCACGUAGGUGGCGACGUAAGUCGGGUGUGAAAGCCCCGGGCUCAACCUGGGAAUUGCAUUCGAGACUGCAUUGCUGGAGUACGGAAGAGGAAGGCGGAAUUCCCGGUGUAGCGGUGAAAUGCGUAGAUAUCGGGAGGAACAUCAGUGGCGAAGGCGACUUCCUGGCCUGUUCUUGACGCUGAGGCGCGAAAGCUAGGGGAGCAAACGGG